rnacentral:lncRNA from 1 species
UCCUGUCCAGUCUUCUUUAAGCCCCACUGCUCUAAUCACCUAAGGAAAUAAGUGAUUCUCGAAUGUUAAGGACCAUGAAGGAUCCAUUAUGUCUUAGAUGAGCCCAGGAAUCUACUUACUUAAGGGUUAUCCUCUAACACUGGUGAUCUCUUGGAGGAACACAGACAUGGGAACCACUGGAGGGAGGGGUGAUGGAACCGUUUUUUCCAACUGACACAAGCUUUGCUCUGCUCAGCCUCUGGCCAUGACUACAGAAAGGACAGAAAUGGAUCUUACAUUUCUUAGAAGAAAAACUAUGAAGUCAGUAUCAGAAGCAGUAAUGGAUAGAUAUGAAAGACCUUGGACUUUUCCAGUUACAUUCUCCACCCCUGUGUCAAAGCAAGAGACAAGAAAGCUCGGAGGAUUCUCCCUGAAGAACGUUCUCUGACACGGUUCCAGUAUUUAAUGAGAAGAAUUAACUUGGUACAAUACUUCACACUUGAUGGAACUGCCAAGAGAAUUAAUAAGUACAAUCCAGUUGGAAAAUGCAUUACAAAGCACACAUUUGGGACGUCAUCACACAUGCCAGCUGAAGACUGAGCCUUUGUGACAUGAAAUAAAGUGACAAAUGCAAGUGGUAGAUCCA